UUUAUGUUUUAUUUGUUGUUUAUAUAGUACUUAAGGGUGUAUCAUCUGUUUUUCUCUCCCAGAAUGAAGCCAAAAAAUCAAUAAAUAAAAAAAAUAUUAAAACAAUGAAAAAAAUUGAAAAGCAAAUAGAAAGAACUAAGCUAUUAGAGCCAGAAGAGCAUUUAAGAGCUCCAGCAUAGUUUGAAUUAUGCGUCUUCCGCUGUUACUUUGGACUUGUAAUGUUUUGAUGCAUAAAAAAUUCACAGAAGAGGCAAUGGUGUAAUUAGCCUCUUUGAAUUUUUUGUAGCAAUGUAGCAAAGAGCCCCCUUUCUUAGUUUCAUGUCAGUCUUGCGUAAAUAAGAUAGCUGACUUUGCAUCCAGGCCUUUGGAAUGUAAAUAUGGUGUCAAUUAACUAGAGUAACAUUAAAAUGGAGGUGAAAUAGGGAAUAACUGAGACCAUUUUCAAAGGGGUUUUUGAGAAUAUUAAUUUAUAGAGAUUAGAAGUAUUAUUGAGCGUUUAUAAAGCUUGUUUAUUUUCUUGAGACUACACAGGAUAUUACGGGAUGGACUGAUUCGAAGGGCAGCACAGGUGGUGAUUCUUCAAUGCCAGUUCCAGCAGCAAAGAAUGACCUUUCUCUGAAGAAGUGCAUGGAGUGUAAGACAGAUCACCCAAGAUUUUGGCGAAAAGGCCCUGACGGGAAGAUGGUAAAUAUAUUGUGGGUUGCAAUUCCAUUAGUGAGAUUAUGUUCGAGAGAGUUAUAUUUGUCUACUAUUUUUAAAUAUUUAUGUUUAGUUCUUACAACACAUGGUAGCGCUCUGAACUAAGUGCUUUUUUCGUUUCCAGUCUUUAUGUAAUGCUUGUGGGACACGUUACAAGCGGCGUGAAAUGAAGAAGUUGGUAGUUCCAGGUGGUGGUUCUUCAAUGCCAGGUCCAGCAGCAAAGAAUGAUCGUUCUGUUAAGAAGUGCAUGGAGUGUAAGACAGAUCACUCUAGAUUUUGGCGAAAAGGCCCUGACGGGGAGGUAAAUAUAUUUUGGGUUGCAAUGCCAUUAAUGAGAUUAUGUUCGAGAGAGUUAUAUUUGUCUACUAUUUUUGAAUUUGUAUGUUUAGUUCCUACAAGUUACAACACAUGGUAGCGUUCUGAACUAAUUGCUUUUUUCGUUUCCAGCCUUUAUGUAAUGCUUGUGGGAAACGUUACAAGAGGCGUGAAAUGAAGAAGUUGGUAGUUCCAGGUGGUGAUCCUUCAGUGCCUGUUCCAGCAGCAAAGAAUGACCUUUCUCUUAAGAAGUGCAUGGAGUGUAAGACAGAGCACACUGGAUUAUGGCGAAAAGGCCCUGACGGGAAGAUGGUAAAUAUACUUUGUAUUGCAAUUCCAUUAGUGAGGUUAUGUUCGAAAGAGUUGUAUUUGUCUACUAUUCCUGAAUUUUUAUGUUUAGUUCUUACAACACAUGGUAGCGUUCUGAACUAAUUGCUUUUCUCGUUUCCAG
rnacentral:lncRNA from 1 species